rnacentral:rRNA from 1 species
GGCUCAGGAUGAACGCUAGCGGCAGGCUUAACACAUGCAAGUCGAGGGGCAGCGUGAUGAAGUAGCAAUACGGAUUUGACGGCGACCGGCGCACGGGUGCGUAACGCGUAUGUAACCUACCUUUAACAGGGGGAUAACACUGAGAAAUUGGUACUAAUACCCCAUAACACUUAGGAAGGCAUCUUCUUGAGUUGAAAGUUCCGGCGGUUAGAGAUGGACAUGCGUUGUAUUAGCUAGAUGGUGAGGUAACGGCUCACCAUGGCGACGAUACAUAGGGGGACUGAGAGGUUAACCCCCCACGCUGGUACUGAGACACGGACCAGACUCCUACGGGAGGCAGCAGUGAGGAAUAUUGGUCAAUGGACGCAAGUCUGAACCAGCCAUGCCGCGUGCAGGAAGACGGCUCUAUGAGUUGUAAACUGCUUUUGUACAAGGGUAAACCUCGGUACGUGUACCGAGCUGAAAGUACUGUACGAAUAAGGAUCGGCUAACUCCGUG